GACGAACGCUGGCGGCGUGCUUAACACAUGCAAGUCGUACGGUAAGGCCCUUUCGGGGGUACACGAGUGGCGAACGGGUGAGUAACACGUGAGUAACCUGCCCACAACUUUGGGAUAACGCUAGGAAACUGGUGCUAAUACUGGAUAUGUGCUCCUGCUGCAUGGUGGGGGUUGGAAAGCUCCGGCGGUUGUGGAUGGACUCGCGGCCUAUCAGCUUGGUGGUGGGGUAGUGGCCUACCAAGGCGGCGACGGGUAGCCGGCCUGAGAGGGUGACCGGCCACAUUGGGACUGAGAAACGGCCCAGACUCCUACGGGAGGCAGCAGUGGGGAAUAUUGCACAAUGGGCGCAAGCCUGAUGCAGCAACGCCGCGUGCGGGAUGACGGCCUUCGGGUUGUAAACCGCUUUCAGCAGGGACGAAGCUUUUUGUGACGGUACCUGCAGAAGAAGCACCGGCUAACUACGUG
rnacentral:rRNA from 1 species